rnacentral:rRNA from 1 species
UACGUAGGGGGCAAGCGUUGUCCGGAAUCAUUGGGCGUAAAGAGCGUGUAGGCGGCCUGAUAAGUCGGCUGUGAAAGUCAAGGGCUCAACCCUUGAAUGCCGGCCGAUACUGUCAGGCUAGAGUCCGGAAGAGGCGAGUGGAAUUCCUGGUGUAGCGGUGAAAUGCGCAGAUAUCAGGAAGGACACCCGUGGCGAAGGCGGCUCUCUGGGACGGUACUGACGCUGAGACGCGAAAGCGUGGGGAGCGAACAGG